rnacentral:rRNA from 1 species
GCUCAACCGAGGAAGUGCUUCGAAAACUGGUAAACUUGAGUGCAGAAGAGGAAAGUGGAACUCCAUGUGUAGCGGUGGAAUGCGUAGAUAUAUGGAAGAACACCAGUGGCGAAGGCGGCUUUCUGGUCUGUAACUGACGCUGAGAUUCGAAAGCAUGGGUAGCAAACAGGAUUAGAUACCCUGGUAGUCCAUGCCGUAAACGAUGAGUGCUAAGUGUUGGAGGGUUUCCGCCCUUCAGUGCUGCAGCUAACGCAUUAAGCACUCCGCCUGGGGAGUACGAUCGCAAGAUUGAAACUCAAAGGAAUUGACGGGGGCCCGCACAAGCGGUGGAGCAUGUGGUUUAAUUCGAAGCAACGCGAAGAACCUUACCAGGUCUUGACAUACUAUGAAAAGCUUAGAGAUAAGUCUUUCCCUUCGGGGACGUGGAUACAGGUGGUGCAUGGUUGUCGUCAGCUCGUGUCGUGAGAUGUUGGGUUAAGUCCCGCAACGAGCGCAACCCUUAUUAUCAGUUGCCAGCAUUCAGUUGGGCACUCUGGUGAGACUGCCGGUGAUAAACCGGAGGAAGGUGGGGACGACGUCAAAUCAUCAUGCCCCUUAUGACUUGGGCUACACACGUGCUACAAUGGUCGGUACAACG